rnacentral:rRNA from 1 species
GAUGAACGCUGGCGGCGUGCCUAAUACGUGCAAGUCGAGCGAAUGGAUUAAGAGCUUGCUCUUAUGAAGUUAGCGGCGGACGGGUGAGUAACACGUGGGUAACCUGCCCAUAAGACUGGGAUAACUCCGGGAAACCGGGGCUAAUACCGGAUAACAUUUUGAACCGCAUGGUUCGAAAUUGAAAGGCGGCUUCGGCUGUCACUUAUGGAUGGACCCGGGUCGCAUUAGCUAGUUGGUGAGGUAACGGCUCACCAAGGCAACGAUGCGUAGCCGACCUGAGAGGGUGAUCGGCCACACUGGGACUGAGACACGGCCCAGACUCCUACGGGAGGCAGCAGUAGGGAAUCUUCCGCAAUGGACGAAAGUCUGACGGAGCAACGCCGCGUGAGUGAUGAAGGCUUUCGGGUCGUAAAACUCUGUUGUUAGGGAAGAACAAGUGCUAGUUGAAUAAGCUGACACCUUGACGGUACCUAACCAGAAAGCCACGGCUAACUACGUGCCAGCCGCCGCAGUAA